AGAGUUUGAUCAUGGCUCAGGACGAACGCUGGCGGCGUGCCUAACACAUGCAAGUCGAACGAGGGCCGGUUGGUGGCAACACCGACUGGUUCCUAGUGGCGAACGGGUGAGUAUCACGUGAGCAACCUACCCCGAAGACUGGGAUAACCCCGGGAAACCGGAGCUAAUACCAGAUGUCCCCAAUGGAUCGCAUGGUCCUUUGAGGAAAUGGAUUCCGCUUCGGGAGGGGCUCGCGGCCUAUCAGCUAGUUGGUGAGGUAACGGCUCACCAAGGCUUCGACGGGUAGCUGGUCUGAGAGGACGAUCAGCCACACUGGGACUGAGACACGGCCCAGACUCCUACGGGAGGCAGCAGUGGGGAAUCUUGCGCAAUGGGCGAAAGCCUGACGCAGCAACGCCGCGUGAGGGACGAAGGCUUUCUGAGUUGUAAACCUCUUUCAGCAGGGACGAUGAUGACGGUACCUGCAGAAGAAGCCCCGGCCAACUACGUGCCAGCAGCCGCGGUAAUACGUAGGGGGCGAGCGUUGUCCGGAUUCAUUGGGCGUAAAGAGCUCGUAGGCGGCUUGGCAAGUCGGGUGUGAAACCUCCAGGCUCAACCUGGAGCCGCCACUCGAUACUGCUAUGGCUAGAGUCUGGCAGGGGACCACGGAAUUCCUGGUGUAGCGGUGAAAUGCGCAGAUAUCAGGAGGAACACCAGUGGCGAAGGCGGUGGUCUGGGCCGGCACUGACGCUGAGGAGCGAAAGCGUGGGGAGCGAACAGGAUUAGAUACCCCGGUAGUCC
rnacentral:rRNA from 1 species